GCGCCCGUAGCUCAACUGGACAGAGCAACGGUCUUCGGAACCGUAGGUUGCAGGUUCGAGUCCUGCCGGGCGUG
rnacentral:tRNA from 1 species